CGCCAUCAGUCUCUAUGCGACACUGACGACAUGGUUCUACAGAAACCAGGAUUAGAUACCCUACUAUACCUCAUAAAAAUUAACGAAUGCCUGGUUAAUACUAGAUAUAUUCUUUAAAAUCAAAGAAUUUGGCGGUGUUUUAGUCUAAUUAGAGGAACCUGUUUUAUAAUCGAUAAGCCACGAAAAAUCUUACUCGUUUUAAGUAGCUUGUAUACCGUCAUUAUAAGAUAACGUUUAUAGAUAGAGUUAUUAAAAUUAAUUCAGAUCAAGUAUAUUAGAUCAAGGUGCAGCCAAUAAACGAGGAAAAAUGGGUUACAGUAAAAUUUGUUUAUAAUGAAUCAUUAUUUGAAGAUAAGAUGUGAAGGAGGAUUUAUUUGUAAUUUUAUUUUAAUAAGGUAAAGUGAAUAAAGCUCUAAAAUGAGUACAUAUCGCCCGUCGCUAGACCAAGUCUCUGCUACCGUACGCAUAGAGACUGAGCGGGCUGG
rnacentral:rRNA from 1 species